rnacentral:misc_RNA from 1 species
UUUCCGUAGGUGAACCUGCGGAAGGAUCAUUACAGAGUUCAUGCCCUCACGGGUAGAUCUCCCACCCUUGAAUAUUUAUACCUUAGUUGCUUUGGCAGGCCGUGGAAACACCAUGGGCUCCGGCUUAUGCGUGCCUGCCAGAGGAAACAAACUCUGCUUUUAGUGAUGUCUGGGUACUAUAUAAUAGUUAAAACUUUCAACAACGGAUCUCUUGGUUCUG